UGUGUCUUCAGUUGCAUCUGAGUUUGCUUUUAGUACUGGAGGUAGAGUUGUUAGUAUUCAUAGAAGUAGACUCCAUGAAGAUACUUUGGAAGCAUUGAUGUGCUCACAAAAUUGGUUAUGGUCAGAAAUUGAAGCUGGUUGUUCAAAUGAGAGUAAAUCUUGUUUAUGGGAUGCUGAGGAUGAUGUGAAUUAAAUCAUGCAUUUCACAAUUUUAAUAUCUUUUCAAGCACAAUUUGAUGUUGGAGAUUGAAAUGACCAAUUAAAUAUAUUUUAUGUUCAAUCAAUGUAGUUUAAUGAACUUUUGGAACAUUUCAUUUGUUCAAAAUGUUAUGUUGGAUAGAUAAUUGAUUAAUG